rnacentral:sRNA from 1 species
GAGCGCCAGCGAGAGAACGUUGCCGCAGGCAACGGCCCGAAGGGCGAGGCGCUUUAGCGCCGAGUAAUCCUUCCCCCACCACCA